AGACUCACUUGAACCCAGGAGGCAGAGGUUGCAAUGAGCCAAGAUUGUGCCAUUGCACUCCAGCUUGGGCAAUAGAGCGAGAUUUCAUCUCAAAAAUAAAUAAAUAAAUAAAUAAAUAAAUAAUGGUAACAGACCCUAAUGGGACACGAAUAUGCCCUAAGACUGGCUGUUCAUCAGCCAUUUUACUCGCUUUACAUCUAAGGACCUCACGUGAUGUUCAUCAAUUACAGAGAUGUCACUCUAAAACCAGUACAUCUUCUGGCUGGGCACAGUGGCUCACGCCUUUAAUCCCAGCACUUUGGGAAGCCCAGGCUGGCGGAUUAC
rnacentral:lncRNA from 1 species